rnacentral:lncRNA from 1 species
CCCCAGUAUAAACUUCUGAAUGAAAGAGGGCCUGCUCAUUCAAAGAUGUUCUCAGUGCAGCUGAGUCUUGGUGAGCAGACAUGGGAAUCCGAAGGCAGCAGUAUAAAGAAGGCUCAACAGGCUGUUGCCAGUAAAGCUUUGACUGAAUCUACGCUUCCCAAACCAGUUCAGAAGCCACCCAAAAGUAAUGUUAACAAUAACCCAGGCAGUAUAACUCCAACUGUGGAACUGAAUGGGCUUGCUAUGAAAAGGGGAGAGCCUGCCAUCUACAGGCCAUUAGAUCCAAAGCCAUUCCCAAAUUAUAGAGCUAAUUACAACUUUCGGGGCAUGUACAAUCAGAGCACUUCGGGAGACCAAGGCG